rnacentral:rRNA from 1 species
UCCUACGGGAGGCAGCAGUUAGGAAUAUUGGACAAUGGGGGCAACCCUGAUCCAGCCAUGCCGCGUGAGUGAAGAAGGCCUUAGGGUUGUAAAACUCUUUCAGAUGCGAGGAUAAUGACAGUAGCGUCAGAAGAAGCCCCGGCUAAAUUCGUGCCAGCAGCCGCGGUGAUACGAAUGGGGCGAGCGUUGUUCGGAAUUACUGGGCGUAAAGCGUGCGUAGGCGGAUAUGAAAGUCAGAAGUGAAAGCCCAGGGCUUAACCCUGGAACUGCUUUUGAAACUUCAUAUCUAGAGUUCUGGAGAGGCAAGGGGAAUUCCUAGUGUAAAGGUAAAAUUUGCAGAUAUUAGGAGGAACACCAAAGGCGUAGGCACCUUGCUGGACAGAUACUGACGCUCAGGUACGAAAGCAUGGGUAGCAAACAGGAUUAGAUACCCUGGUAGUCCAUGCCGUAAACGAUGUGUGCUAGUUGUUAGUUCUUUUAUAGAAUUAGUAACGACGCUAACGCAUUAAGCACACCGCCUGGGGAGUACGGUCGCAAGAUUAAAACUCAAAGGAAUUGACGGGGA